GGUUGGAGUGGUUACAUUUUGGAAAUCACAUCUUGAGGAUGGCGGAGAUGACCUCUGACUGGGCUCAUGAAUAGUCACGUGGAAGACAGCCAUGCCCUGAACUGGGACACCCUGGAUCAUUAUUACAAGGAACUGCUUCUGCAAUCACUAAAGUCAAUGAAGAAGGUAAGAGGAUUGCAAAGGUUUCCUCGCUGAUUCUACCAACAGAAAUGUUUUCAUUGUGCUGCUUUGGAAGUUGCUUUGGAUCGAAUCAACCAUAUUGCUUAUACCACUAAUUAUGAUCCAUUGUCAAAAAAAGAGCCACAGAUGCCCUCCAUACUGCUGGACUGCUGUUUCUUUGUUGUGGAUAAUUCUACCUGAGGCAAGCUUCACUUCUUUUGGGCACUUGGAAUCGCUGGACAUUUCAGAUCGAGGAUCAGAAGAAGUAAGCAUGUUUAUUUACUCCACAGCCCAGGUGUCAACCUCAGGCGGUUCCCAAGCAAUAAGCUCAAUUUCAGUCAAAAGUCCCCGAAUUCAAGUGGCCCUGUUGUCAGUGGAGCUCUUCUGUUGUCAGAAGGGAGAGAGAGUAGGCAAAAAGAUGCUUCUUUCCAGCAUGAAUUCAAGUUACCCCUGCAAGCUGACCCUUCUUAAUGGCACAUUUGCCCCCAAACACAUAGUUCCCUCUUCUCUGUCCAAGUUUACAAUGCUUAUGACACACAUUCCCGAUACUAUGGCUCUACCCCAGAGAUUUAAGAUUGCUAGAAGCUGGGACAAGAGAAUGCCCGUUAACCGAUGCCAAUGCUUUUCUUUCCCGAUAUUUUCCCUUCCUGUGAUAACAACCAUCAUCAUUCUUUUUUUAGGAGACAGAAACCCAUGCACAGAAACUCGUGUGCUGUUAUCCGCAAGGUAA
ensembl:lncRNA